UACGUAGGGACCGAGCGUUGUCCGGAAUCAUUGGGCGUAAAGAGCUCGUAGGCGGUCUGUCGCGUCUGCUGUGAAAACCUAGGGCUUAACUCUGGGCGUGCAGUGGGUACGGGCAGACUAGAGUGCGGUAGGGGUGACUGGAAUUCCUGGUGUAGCGGUGGAAUGCGCAGAUAUCAGGAGGAACACCGAUGGCGAAGGCAGGUCACUGGGCCGCAACUGACGCUGGAGGAGCGAAAGCAUGGGGAGCGAACAGG
rnacentral:rRNA from 1 species